CAGCAGCCGCGGUAAUACGUAGGUGGCAAGCGUUGUCCGGAUUUAUUGGGCGUAAAGGGAGCGCAGGUGGUUUCUUAAGUCUGAUGUGAAAGCCCACGGCUUAACCGUGGAGGGUCAUUGGAAACUGGGAAACUUGAGUACAGAAGAGGAAUGUGGAACUCCAUGUGUAGCGGUGGAAUGCGUAGAGAUAUGGAGGAACACCAGUGGCGAAGGCGACUCUCUGGUCUGCAACUGACGCUGAGGCGCGAAAGCGUGGGGAGCGAACAGGAUUAGAUACCCUGGUAGUCCACGCCGUAAACGAUGAGUGCUAAGUGUUGGAGGGUUUCCGCCCUUCAGUGCUGCAGCUAACGCAUUAAGCACUCCGCCUGGGGAGUACGGCCGCAAGGCUGAAACUCAAAGGAAUUGACGG
rnacentral:rRNA from 1 species